GAUGAACGCUGGCGGCGUGCCUAAUACAUGCAAGUCGAGCGAACAGACGAGGAGCUUGCUCCUCUGACGUUAGCGGCGGACGGGUGAGUAACACGUGGAUAACCUACCUAUAAGACUGGGAUAACUUCGGGAAACCGGAGCUAAUACCGGAUAAUAUAUUGAACCGCAUGGUUCAAUAGUGAAAGACGGUUUUGCUGUCACUUAUAGAUGGAUCCGCGCCGCAUUAGCUAGUUGGUAAGGUAACGGCUUACCAAGGCGACGAUGCGUAACCGACCUGAGAGGGUGAUCGGCCACACUGGAACUGAGACACGGUCCAGACUCCUACGGGAGGCAGCAGUAGGGAAUCUUCCGCAAUGGGCGAAAGCCUGACGUAGCAACGCCGCGUGAAUGAUGAAGGUCUUCUGAUCGUAAAACGCUGUUAUUAGGGAAGAACAAAUGUGUAAGUAACUAUGCACGUCUUGACGGUACCUAAUCAGAAAGCCACGGCUAACUACGUG
rnacentral:rRNA from 1 species